rnacentral:rRNA from 1 species
GACGAACGCUGGCGGCGUGCUUAACACAUGCAAGUCGAACGGAAAGGCCCUGCUUUUGUGGGGUGCUCGAGUGGCGAACGGGUGAGUAACACGUGAGUAACCUGCCCUUGACUUUGGGAUAACUUCAGGAAACUGGGGCUAAUACCGGAUAGGAGCUCCUGCUGCAUGGUGGGGGUUGGAAAGAUUCGGCGGUUGGGGAUGGACUCGCGGCUUAUCAGCUUGUUGGUGGGGUAGUGGCUUACCAAGGCUUUGACGGGUAGCCGGCCUGAGAGGGUGACCGGCCACCUGGGUACUGAGAUACGGCCCAGACUCCUACGGGAUGCAGCAGUCGGGAAUAUUGCACAAUGGGGCGAAGUCGGAUGCAGCAACGCCGCGUUCGGGAUGACGGCCUGCGGGUUGUAAACCGCUUUCUCCUGUGACGAAGCGUGAGUGACGGUACUGGGUAAAGAAGCACCGGCUAACUACGUG